CCGUGGAGCUUUACUGUAGCCUGAUAUUGAAAUUCGGUACAGUUUGUACAGGAUAGGUAGGAGCCUUAGAAGCGUGAGCGCUAGCUUACGUGGAGGCAUUGGUGGGAUACUACCCUAAUUGUAUUGGAUUUCUAACCCGCAGCACUUAUCGUGCUGGGAGACAGUGUCAGGCGGGCAGUUUGACUGGGGCGGUCGCCUCCUAAAGAGUAACGGAGGCGCUCAAAGGUUCCCUCAGAAUGGUUGGAAAUCAUUCAUAGAGUGUAAAGGCAUAAGGGAGCUUGACUGCGAGACCUACAAGUCGAGCAGGGUCGAAAGACGGACUUAGUGAUCCGGUGGUUCCGCAUGGAAGGGCCAUCGCUCAACGGAUAAAAGCUACCCCGGGGAUAACAGGCUUAUCUCCCCCAAGAGUUCACAUCGACGGGGAGGUUUGGCACCUCGAUGUCGGCUCAUCGCAUCCUGGGGCUGUAGUCGGUCCCAAGGGUUGGGCUGUUCGCCCAUUAAAGCGGUACGCGAGCUGGGUUCAGAACGUCGUGAGACAGUUCGGUCCCUAUCCGUCGUGGGCGUAGGAAAUUUGAGAGGAGCUGUCCUUAGUACGAGAGGACCGGGAUGGACAUACCUCUGGUGUACCAGUUGUCGUGCCAACGGCAUAGCUGGGUAGCUAUGUAUGGACGGGAUAAGUGCUGAAAGCAUCUAAGCAUGAAGCCCCCCUCGAGAUGAGAUUUCCCAACUUCGGUUAUAAG
rnacentral:rRNA from 1 species